rnacentral:rRNA from 1 species
AGUGAACGCUGGCGGUAGGCCUAACACAUGCAAGUCGAACGGCAGCACAGUAAGAGCUUGCUCUUACGGGUGGCGAGUGGCGGACGGGUGAGGAAUACAUCGGAAUCUACUUUUUCGUGGGGGAUAACGUAGGGAAACUUACGCUAAUACCGCAUACGACCUACGGGUGAAAGCAGGGGAUCUUUGGACCUUGCGCGAUUGAAUGAGCCGAUGUCGGAUUAGCUAGUUGGCGGGGUAAAGGCCCACCAAGGCGACGAGCCGUAGCUGGUCUGAGAGGAUGAUCAGCCACACUGGAACUGAGACACGGUCCAGACUCCUGCGGGAGGCCGCAGUGGGGAAUAUUGGAGCAUGGGCGCAAGCCUGAUCCAGCCAUCCCGCGUGGGUGAAGAAGGCCUUCUGGUUGUAGAACCCUUUUGUUGGGUAAGAAAAUCAGCAGGUUAAUACCCCGCUGUUCUGACGGUACCCAAAGAAUAAGCACCGGCUAACUUCGUG